rnacentral:lncRNA from 1 species
UCAAACCCUAAUUCAUCUGGCCAUGAAACUUGCCCGUCAAGAAACCCUAGUUUGGGAAUCCUUCAAACAUUGAUCAUGCUCAUUUUUGGCCAUCCUAUCACCCUACCAUUUAUUUAACAUCAUUUCAUUUCCAUUACAAUCCAAACCAACCAUUUAAGUAUCCAUUCAAUCCAUGUUGCAAGUAGUUGUUUCAUACAUGAUUUU